rnacentral:rRNA from 1 species
UCCAACCCCUGUGACAUACCUAUACGUUGCCUCGGCGGAUCAGCCCGCGCCCUGUAAAAAGGGACGGCCCGCCCGAGGACCCUAAACUCUGUUUUUAGUGGAACUUCUGAGUAAAACAAACAAAUAAAUCAAAACUUUCAACAACGGAUCUCUUGGUUCUGGCAUCGAUGAAGAACGCAGCAAAAUGCGAUAAGUAAUGUGAAUUGCAGAAUUCAGUGAAUCAUCGAAUCUUUGAACGCACAUUGCGCCCGCCAGUAUUCUGGCGGGCAUGCCUGUUCGAGCGUCAUUUCAACCCUCAAGCUCAGCUUGGUGUUGGGACUCGCGGUAACCCGCGUUCCCCAAAUCGAUUGGCGGUCACGUCGAGCUUCCAUAGCGUAGUAAUCAUACACCUCGUUACUGGUAAUCGUCGCGGCCACGCCGUAAAACCCCAACUUCUGAAUGUUGACCUCGGAUCAGGUAGGAAUACCCGCUGAACUUAAGCAUAUCAAUAAGCGGAGGA